rnacentral:rRNA from 1 species
CGUAGCCGCGGGAAUACGUAGGGUGCGAGCGUUAAUCGGAAUUACUGGGCGUAAAGCGUGCGCAGGCGGUUCGUUAAGACAGAUGUGAAAUCCCCGGGCUUAACCUGGGAACUGCAUUUGUGACUGGCGAGCUAGAGUAUGGCAGAGGGGGGUAGAAUUCCACGUGUAGCAGUGAAAUGCGUAGAGAUGUGGAGGAAUACCGAUGGCGAAGGCAGCCCCCUGGGCCAAUACUGACGCUCAUGCACGAAAGCGUGGGGAGCAAACAGGAUUAGAUACCCCUGUAGACCCUGUCUCUUAUACA